rnacentral:rRNA from 1 species
GACGAACCGUGCGAACGUUGUUCGGAAUCACUGGGCUUAAAGGGCGCGUAGGCGGGCUCGCAAGUCUGUGGUGAAAUCCUCCAGCCCAACUGGAGAAUGGCCGUGGAUACUGCGAGUCUCGAGGGAGGUAGGGGCGUGCGGAACAGAUGGUGGAGCGGUGAAAUGCGUUGAUAUCAUCUGGAACUCCGGUGGCGAAGGCGGCACGCUGGACCUCUUCUGACGCUGAGGCGCGAAAGCCAGGGGAGCAAACGGG